rnacentral:rRNA from 1 species
CCUACGGGGGGCUGCAGUGAGGAAUAUUGGUCAAUGGGCGGGAGCCUGAACCAGCCAAGUCGCGUGAGGGAAGACGGUCCUAUGGAUUGUAAACCUCUUUAGGCGGGGAGCAAUGCCGGGCACGUGUGCCCGGAGGGAGAGUACCCGCAGAAUAAGCAUCGGCUAACUCCGUGCCAGCAGCCGCGGUAAUACGGAGGAUGCGAGCGUUAUCCGGAUUUAUUGGGUUUAAAGGGUGCGUAGGCGGAUUUUUAAGUCAGCGGUAAAAUGUCCGGGCUCAACCCGGGCCGGCCGUUGAAACUGGGGAUCUUGAGUGGGCGAGAAGUAUGCGGAAUGCGUGGUGUAGCGGUGAAAUGCAUAGAUAUCAGGAGGAACACCGGUGGCGAAGGCGGCCUGCUGGACUGCAACUGACGUUGAGGCCCGAAAGCGUGGGGAGCAAACAGGAUUAGAUACCCCGGUAGUC